rnacentral:tRNA from 1 species
UGGACGCAUAGCUCAGUGGAUAGAGCAACCGCCUUCUAAGCGGUCGGUCGCAGGUUCGAAUCCUGCUGCGUCCGU